rnacentral:lncRNA from 1 species
GUGAAUGUCACUCGGGAGCAGAAGCAUUUAAUUGCCAGCAUGAGACCCUCUCUCUUUCCUCUGGCAGCCUACCAGCAAUGCUUGGGAUGUUGCCUGCCUCAGUGUACCUGAGGGACUCAGGAGGAAACACUUCUGCUGCCCCGUGGUAGACACAUUGUUCUGGCCUCUGCCAAACCAGAUAGAUGCAGAAAAAGGACGGGAGACUACUGCAAGUUCAACUACGUAGUGACCUCAAUUUAAGCCUGUGUGCCAGCUAUGGAGGAGAGACCCAACAGAACCUCGGAAGAGCUGUUCCCAGAAUCUGUGGGGGAAUUGUGGUGGAGAAUAUUAUAUGCCUCCCAGAUCCUUCUUCAGAAUGACAAAGUAAAUAUUCCCCUAUUUGCUGGGAGUUCUGCCAGAAGAUGGCUCUCACGGUCAGGUCUCUUUAUGGAUUGCCUUGAAUGAUAAACUUGCCUCUCUGAGGUCACACCUCCAUCCAGGGACAUUCUUCUUUCCAUGACUCAUCAUCAUGAGAGUAGAAAAGAUCUGAAUCCCUUGCCCUAACUUGAGACCAUUCUGAACCCCAGUUCCGCGGUCUCUGCGGGCGUCAGUGGAGACUUACUAGGAUGACUUCCCAGAGGAACCUCUGCCUAUUUCUGCUUCCUCUUCUCCCUUCCAUAGCAUUGACCCAGAAAGCACUCCUUAAUAAACAUCCCACAUACUAAUCUCCAUCUCAGAAUAUGCUUCCCAGGAAUCCAACCUAUGAGCAGGCGCAGUCAAUAAAAAUGGUUUGGCAAGCUACAAUUGUUGUUGCAUCAUCAGUGCUUUAUGCCAUACCCAAUUUUAUCUCUAGAAAGCCAGAGAAAGAUUUAUCUAAGUUUUGUAUGUACAUCAG